rnacentral:tRNA from 1 species
GGAGAGAUGCCAGAGUGGUUGAAUGGGUCAGUCUCGAAAACUGUUGUGCGGGUAACUGCACCGAGGGUUCGAAUCCCUCUCUCUGAUCCA